ACGGCUGUCCGGCGGCCUUGUAAUCUUGUAUAUAUGUAGAUCCCCACCCAACGUGAACAGAUUAGCGUCCGGUUUGUUUACGUUUAAAAGCAAAGCAAGUUUUACUACUGGUUUAGACAAACAAAUUGGUUAUUUACACAUUUUUUGGUAUUCUUCAAGUCCAUAGAUAUGUAGAAUUUCAAUUUUUGAGUGUGAUCUACUACAAUUGACAAACAUUUCUUACUGAAAUAUUUUCCUUUUUAGAUGCCUGUAGAAGUUCAAAAGGAAGACGAAGCUGAGACUUUCACAUUUCAGGCCAUGAUUGCUCAGCUUAUGAGCUUGAUUAUCAACACGUUCUAUAGUUGAUCUCCAACUCCUCUAUGUCCUAGACAAUAUCUGUUAUGAAUCCGUGACUGACCCAAGCAAGUUGGACAGCGGUAAGGAUCUUAUUAGAAUCAAGAUUGUCCUCAACAAGAAUGACUCACUCUCAUGGAUACUGGUAUUGGCAUGAUCAUAAGGCUGAUUUGGUUAACAACUUGGGUACUAUUGCCAAGUUUGGAAGUAAAGCUUUCAUGGAAGGCCUCUCUGCUGGAGCUGACAUCUCCAUGAUUGGUCAGUUUGGUGUGGGUUUCUACUCUGCUUAUCUGGUUGCCGACAAGGUGACAGUUCAUUCCAAGCAUAAUGAUUGAAACCUCUCUGCUGUCAUCUGGUUUCUCCCUGGAAGAGCCAGCCGUCCAUGCUUCUCGCAUCUCCCGCACGAUCCCAUUGGGUUUGGGUAUCGAUGAAGAUGAUGUCCCUGCUGGUGGUGAGGAAGCCGAAGCCGAAGAAGAGAUGCCGCCAUUGGAGAAUGAUGAAGAUGCUUCUCGCUGGAGAAAGGCGAUUACACGUGUCAAUUACUGUUCUAAAACUUAAAACCCAAACUCAGUUUCUUUCAAUUGUUCUUAUUUCAGCGUUUUGGCGAACUGGAAUGAGGGCAUUCAUAUGAUAAAAUUAGUCUUAUUGUCUUAAAAUCAUGGCUUCACUUCAUUGUGUUGCUCCCUCGUUCCUGGCAUUGUAUAACUACGUGUUAAGUAUUUGAAUUCAAUACAACCAAUCGCGGUUUGCUGUAUUAAAA